GACGAACGCUGGCGGCGUGCUUAACACAUGCAAGUCGAACGGAAAGGCCCUGCUUUUGUGGGGUGCUCGAGUGGCGAACGGGUGAGUAACACGUGAGUAACCUGACCUUGACUUUGGGAUAACUUCAGGAAACUGGGGCUAAUACCGGAUAGGAGCUCCUGCUGCAUGGUGGGGGUUGGAAAGUUUCGGCGGUUGGGGAUGGACUCGCGGCUUAUCAGCUUGUUGGUGGGGUAGUGGCUUACCAAGGCUUUGACGGGUAGCCGGCCUGAGAGGGUGACCGGCCACAUUGGGACUGAGAUACGGCCCAGACUCCUACGGGAGGCAGCAGUGGGGAAUAUUGCACAAUGGGCGGAAGCCUGAUGCAGCAACGCCGCGUGCGGGAUGACGGCCUUCGGGUUGUAAACCGCUUUCGCCUGUGACGAAGCGUGAGUGACGGUAAUGUGUAAAGAAGCACCGGCUAACUACGUG
rnacentral:rRNA from 1 species